rnacentral:rRNA from 1 species
CCUACGGGUGGCAGCAGUGAGGAAUAUUGGUCAAUGGGCGCGAGCCUGAACCAGCCAAGUAGCGUGAAUGAUGACUGCCCUACGGGUUGUAAACUUCUUUUAUAAAGGAAUAAAGUGAGGCACGUGUGCCUUUUUGUAUGUACUUUAUGCAUAAGGAUCGGCUAACUCCGUGCCAGCAGCAGCGGUAAUACGGAGGAUCCGAGCGUUAUCCGGAUUUAUUGGGUGUAAAGGGAGCGUAGGUGGGGUGUUAAGUCAGUUGUGAAAGCUUGCGGCUCAACCGUAAAAUUGCAAUUGAUACUGGCAGGCUUGAGUAGAGUAGAGGUAGGCGGAAUUCGUGGUGUAGCGGUGAAAUGCGUAGAUAUCAGGAGGAACACCGAUGGCGAAGGCAGCCUACUGAACUGACACUGACGUUGAUGCUCGAAAGUGUGGGUAGCAAACAGGAUUAGAUACCCCAGUAGUC